AUUCAAGUUCAUGUAAUACACAAACACGCGCUUGUCUUAGAAUUUAACGUUACAUGUAGAAUAAACACACGUACAAAGACAACCAUUUUCCCUUUAAUCUGCAAAAUAUAGAAUACAGGAAAAUAUUAAAUAAGAAAUAAGUCAUAUUAUAUCUCGAAAAUACAUAAAUACAGUUUAUUAGUAUUCAACAUUACGAUUUUUUUUUCAAGAUUUCUUUUUCAGCGUGAAUUGAUAAACAUUAGCCGAUGUAAAUUUACUCUUUAGCCAAGGAUAUUUGAAUUUACAAAAGAAUUUAAACUAAAAAAUGUAUCUCACGUAGUGUACAUUGUAAAAAUUAAAAAUAAGUGAAUAAUUUUCAUUCGCGAAACAGAGACAGUAUUUGCGUUAAAAAAAUUGUUUAAAGGCAGGCAUGUAGCAACGGGGAAGGGGGGGGGGUUGAGAGUUGUGGGUCUCUCUCCGCAUAACUUUGAUAAGAUGAACACACAUGAUAGAAUACAUGACUAUGCCCCCCCCCCCCCCCCCCCGCCGGAUUGGGAGUUUGAGGUUUGUCGGAAAUGCGGGAAAUGUAGAAAAUAUUGCUUUAUUCUACCGGUCUUAAGAAAAAUCUUCACAACAGUCCCAAUAUCCCCAAAAGAGUGAUUUUACAGCCUUAGGACGGUCUUAGGACGAGGUAAUUGAUAUCCUAAAGUUAGGACAAAGUUAUGGUGGUUCCUAAAUUUAGGAGAGCUUCGAGAAACAGACUUAAGACUAAGACGUAUCCUAAGAUGUACUUAGGACACACCGUAGUCCUAAGAUAGCUUCGUGAACAUGCCUGCAGGAAUAUAGAAAAUAUUGUCAAUUUGAUAUUGCUGAUGAUCCAGUCAAGUCUGCUGAAGCCCAGUCAUUUUCCAGACCAUGACAUUAAUGAAUAUUUCUUGAAUGGAAUGCAUGAGGAUUAGAAUGGAACCUUAUUCUGCCUUUUUACCAACUCACAUCUAUGGAGCCAAGCACAGAAGAAUUUGUUCUAUACACAUCAUUCAUAACAUUCUUAUUUAUGUUGCAUAACUUUAAAUGUUACUGGAUGAAUUGUGUUCACAUAAUGAAUACCAGCAAACUUUUUAUCGAGUGCACUUAUUUUGUAUUUUUCCUACCCAUCCAUCUACAUAUUCAUAUACAUGUAACAUUUUUGGAAGCAGCUAUUUUUUUUUAAUUGGAAUAUAGCCUUACUAUUUUAUACAAGUUUUUUUUAAAGGGACUUGGACACAAUUUUAGAUGAAAAUUUUGUUUUCAAUUUCUUUAUGCAUAAUGAUUUACUUGCACAUUUUGAAUAAUUGACCAUAAUUUGAAUGUUAGAGGUCAAGUUAUAAGAGAGAUACAGGGGUAAGAAUUUAUUGUUAUGUAAACAAAGCUCGAGUCUUAUGUUUGUUUACAAAUAAUAUAAAGUAUGAAAUUACCACUUCUUUAAGAAAAUGAUACAUAGAAAAGAAGGUAAACUGAUUCGAUGUGAUCAUAAAUGAUAUUAUUAAUAGAAAAAAGCAACAUUUGAAUGAAACUUACACCAAUAAAACACAUAUGUAAACAAUAAGAAGACUCGCGCUUUGUUUACAAAACAAAGAAUAUUUAAUUCUUUAUCUUUCUUUUAACACAUUUUUUGACUUUCAAAUUUUGACAAAGCAUUUAAAACACCCAUAUCAACCAUUCUAAAUAUUGAAAAUGGAAAUAUAAAAUUUUGAAUUUUAAAGCUCAAAUCGUGUCUAAGUCCCUUUAAUAUACUCUUUUGUAUACAAACAGAACAAAAAUACCUAGUUACAAUGGGAAAUGAACAUAAUAUAUAUAAAAGUGUCUGAUAAAAGUAUAGGUCUUGUUCAUGAACAGAAGAAAUUGACAGAAAAAUAUUCAGUUUUAGCCAUGAAAUACAAAUAUUAAUAUUUUUUAAGAAUAUUAUUUAAUCUAAAGAAGUUAUAAAAGUUUUUUUCCCCUUUAUUCCAAUGUUUGGAAACAAAUCCAAUAUAUAAUUAAAAUUGCUGUACAGUAUAUCCUAUUGAUUCCUAUAAUAUAUCACUUUAGUUUCUUGAACAGCAUGUUUAUUACUUUUUUUUUCUUAAAAUGAUGUAUACUAGGUCAUUAAUUUAUUUUCAUUAUAUUCAACUAGAUACAAAUAGACCUUCUGCAACCUUUUCAUUGUUUAAAUGGUAUGGAGUUUUAAUUACCUUUCAUAUGAAAAAUGACAUCUAAAUCUUAAAUUGCUGUACAUUAUAUCCUAUCCAUCUAAUGUAUCACUUUAUUUAUGUUGAACUUCGUGUCUAUUAGUAUUAUGAUUCUUUUUAGAAUGAUAUAUGCAAUUUCAUUAAUUUAUUUUUCAUUUUAAGAAAAUUCAUUUUAAAAAAGAUCUCUUACAACCUGUGUAUUUUUUUUUUCAGUUUACAUAACACAGUGUAUUAAUUGAAUGUAGUUGUGUAGAUUUAUACAUGUACCUACAAGCAAUAUACAUUUAAUAUUCACCAGGUACAUGUACCAGCCUACUAUAUUUGAUAAA